CCUCACUCACACUGUGGCCCCUCCCUCCUCCCUCACUCACUCUGUGACCCCUCCCUCCUCCCUCACUCACUCUGUGGACCCUCCCUCCUCUCUCACUCACUCUGUGGACCCUCCCUCCCUCUGUGGACCCUCCCUCCUCCCUCACUCACUCUGUGGCUCCUCCCUCCUCCCUCCUGCUCCGGCCAUGUAGGAUGUGCCUGUUUCCCCUUUGCCUUCUGCCAUGACUGUAAGUUUCCUGAGGCCUCCCCAGCCACGCUUCCUGUAUAGCCUGUGGAACCAUGAGCCAAUUAUACCCCGUUUCUUUAUAAAUUAAAAAAACAAAAGAAAUUACUGUAGGUGAAACUAAAAGCUUCCUUUCUGAGCUCAGCCUGGCUCUGCCCUGACGGUCCUAUGGGAUACCCUUCCGUCCUGACGGCCUUUGACAAGGCCAUAGCUCAGGUUCAGCCCUGGGCGUGACCACCACCACUGCUGGCAAAAGUGGAGGGUCUGUGGAUCCCAUGCAUCAGAAACCACUGGGGGUGAGACAGGUGGGAGAAAGUCCUUGGGGAAAGGUUCUGGGUAAGGUAAAGGCAAAACAAAAAAUGCAGGUGAGUUUAAGGACUGGGUGGUGGCCACCGCUGAGGAACAGGCCCUGCCCUGGACAUGGAGGGGAAAGUGAAAUGACUGAGGGGAUGGUGAUGGUGCUGGGGUCUCCGUGGAACUGACUGGAGGUGUGUGAGGCACCUUCAGGACCCACCCCCAGGGCAGGAGAGGGAGAGGCCGUGCAGGUGCCGACGGAGAAUGGGUGGGCCUUGCAGUUCUGCUGGGGCCCAGCACUGGCUUUGGGGCGGCAGGUGGACAGGCUGCCUGUGGCCUGGCGGGGAAGGGCCCAGCGCGUGCGGCCAGCUGGUGUCAACCCUGGAUCUCAGCUCCAUGCACCUCCUGCAUGGGCCUGGCCUGGCUCAUCCGGGAUCUCUCCUGGGACCAGGACGGAACCCACCACAGGCCGUACAGGGCCCUGUCCCAGGAAUGUGAGUUUCUGCCCCCUCGGAAUAUUGCCACCAAGUCAAAUCUGAGCACGGCUCCUGCCCCCUGCCCUCGUCUCUACCUGCUGUGUGCGGCCUUCAGGUCUCUAAGGACCCUCACUGCUGGUCUUUCUUGAUCCCUCAUCUCCACCUCUAAGACGGACGAUGCCAAUACCUAGGGUGGCCCUCAAGACUGGACCCCCAAGACCCCAUGAGUGCUCCCUGCCCGCCCCACCCAGCCCUACCUGGCCCACUCUUUGAGCUCCCUGUGGGACAGUGAGUGUCCUUCUCGGAGGGUCACCACAGCAGUGACCCGCUGGCCC
rnacentral:lncRNA from 10 species